UAGGGAAUAUUAGUAAUGGGCGAAAGCCUGAACUAGCGACACCGCGUGUGCGAAGAAGGCCUUCGGGUUGUAAAGCACUUUUAGAGAGGAUGAGGAAGGACGGUACUCUCUGAAUAAGUCUCGGCUAACUACGUGCCAGCAGCCGCGGUAACACGUAGGAGGCAAACGUUAUCCGGAUUUACUGGGCGUAAAGCGCGUGUAGGUGGUUCUGUAAGUAGGGCGUGAAAGCUCCCGGCUCAACUGGGAGAGGCCGUUCUAAACUGCAGAGCUAGAGGAUGGUAGAGGGAGUGGAAUUCCGGGUGUAGCGGUGGAAUGCGCAGAUAUCCGGAGGAACACCAGUGGCGAAGGCGACCGUCCUGGGCCACGUCCUGACACUCAGACGCGAAAGCUAGGGUAGCAA
rnacentral:rRNA from 1 species